rnacentral:rRNA from 1 species
AAUGAACGCUGGCGGCGUGCCUAACACAUGCAAGUCGCACGAGAACGUUUCAGCUUGCUGAAACUAGUAAAGUGGCGCACGGGUGAGUAACGCGUGGGUAAUCUACCUCCGAAUUGGGGAUAACAUUGCGAAAGCGAUGCUAAUACCGAAUGACAUCUCAAUAACACCGGUUUUUGAGAUCAAAGGUGGCCUCUCCAUGGAAGCUUCUGUUUGGAGAUGAGCCCGCGUACCAUUAGCUUGUUGGUAGGGUAAUGGCCUACCAAGGCAACGAUGGUUAGCUGGUCUGAGAGGAUGAUCAGCCACACUGGAACUGACACACGGUCCAGACUCCUACGGGAGGCAGCAGUGAGGAAUUUUGCGCAAUGGGGGAAACCCUGACGCAGCAACGCCGCGUGAGUGAUGAAGGCUUUCGGGUCGUAAAGCUCUGUCAAGUGGGAAGAACCUGCUUUUGCUAAUAUCAUUAGGCACUGACGGUACCACUGAAGGAAGCACCGGCUAACUCCGUGCCAGCAGCCGCGGUAAUACGGAGGGUGCAAGCGUUAUUCGGAAUCACUGGGCGUAAAGAGCGCGUAGGCGGUUUGUUAAGUCAGAUGUGAAAGCCCGGGGCUCAACCCCGGAAGUGCAUUU